rnacentral:rRNA from 1 species
GACGAACCGUGCAAACGUUAUUCGGAAUCACUGGGCUUAAAGGGCGCGUAGGCGGGUCGGCAAGUCAGGGGUGAAAUCCUCCAGCUCAACUGGAGAAGUGCCUUUGAUACUGCCGACCUCGAGGGAGGUAGGGGCGUGCGGAACUUCCGGUGGAGCGGUGAAAUGCGUAGAUAUCGGAAGGAACACCGGUGGCGAAAGCGGCGCGCUGGACCUCUGCUGACGCUGAGGCGCGAAAGCCAGGGGAGCAAACGGG